UACGUAGGGUGCAAGCGUUGUUCGGAAUCAUUGGGCGUAAAGGGCUCGUAGGCGGUCUGUCACGUCGGGAGUGAAAACUCAGGGCUUAACCCUGAGCCUGCUUCCGAUACGGGCAGACUAGAGGUAUGCAGGGGAGAACGGAAUUCCUGGUGUAGCGGUGAAAUGCGCAGAUAUCAAGAGGAACACCGGUGGCGAAGGCGGUUCUCUGGGCAUUACCUGACGCUGAGGAGCGAAAGUGUGGGGAGCGAACAGG
rnacentral:rRNA from 1 species